CAAGGCAGGUUACAGUGACUCGGACUGUAUAGUAUAUUAUAAAUAUAAGUGUACGUCGUUAAAAGCCAAACGAAUUUUUUAGGUUUUUUCAGGGAUUUGUUUAGGUUUUUUCAGGGAUCUUUUCAGGUUUAUCUACUACGUAUGUGUGAAAAUGCGUACAUUUUUAACGGGUGAUUUUUAAGAAAAAAAAUCAUAUCAUAACGUGCGUAUCAAGUAUAGAAAAGCAAGGGCGGAUUUUGUGAAAAUGAAAAAUAUAUUCUGUAGUCAUUAGAAUGGUUUGCUGCUAUGUGUUCACCAUACAUUUUUAUGGAGUAGAGACUUAGACUCUAUCCAUAGUAUCGAUCAAUCGAAUCAAAGCAUUUGAAAUGUAAAUAUAUUACAAAACAUUGAAAACUAAUUGGUGCGAUCGCACGACGAAUAUCAGCGUAUUAGAAUGAACGAACAAGGAUCUUGAAGUAGUAAAACUAUAAAAACGUGAAAACUUUAAUAUCUUGAAAAUGUUAUGUAUCAUCCGGAAAAAUAUAGUCUACUACAAUUAAUAAUCCAAGGCAAAAUAGUUGGGAAAACAAACUGUGGAAGACAUCAAAUUUCUUGGAUAACCGACUUGGUUGGUUCAAAAUAUCUACCAACUAA